rnacentral:lncRNA from 1 species
CCCAAUGGACCCCAUUAAGGCCAAUUAUAGGCCCCUCCCCGCCAUGACGUCACGCCGCUCCCGUGACGUCACGCCGCUUCUCACCGCUCCAUGAUGGAGCCGUCGUGUCCCGGGGGCAGCGGGUCGAUUCCCGCCCUCCUCCUCCGCCCACCGCGCGCGUACCGGAAGUGCGCGCGCGUCACGUGAGCGAGGCUUCGGGAAUGGCACGCUCUUUCGGUACACAGCUGUUUAUAGGCCUACGCCCUGCGCUGGCGAUGUGCGCAUGCGCGACCGGAAGUUGAUGGGUAAACCACCCACUUCCUGUUUUGAGUGAGACAGGAAGUGGGCGGAGCUUGAAGCGGAAGUGCUCGGCUCGCAGACCGGAAGUGACGCGCUACACCCGGAAGAGACCGGUGAGAAGAUGGCGGAGGCGGCCGAGGUGUCGGAGGGAUGUCGGCUGCCGGUACUGAGGCGUAACCAGGACAACGAGGAUGAGUGGCCGUUGGCUGAGAUCCUGAGUUUGUGAAGGACAUCAUGAGCCGGCGGGCUGUUCUAUGUCCAUUACAUUGACUUCGAAUAAAGCGCCUGGACGAAUGGGUGACCCCGGAUCGGGUUGGACCUUCAGAGGGUCCAGGGACCCCGAAAAGAAGCGAAGACCCCAACAAAGAACGGGCUUGCCAGGAUCCAGGCCUGGACUCACCUGAAAGGGACCGGAAGCGUAAGGUGGAGGUGGUCUCACCCGCCACCCCCGUCCCCGCAGCCACCGACACCUCACAGGCCUCUGUGUUCCCACAGAAACGGUCAGCUCGUCGGCGCUGUGGCCGCGCAGCCGGGCAGGAAAGGAAAUCAGCCUGUCUGGAACGGAUGAGUUUGAUUAUGGGGGUUAAAAUGUGACUAUAACCCCUAUAACCCCCCAUUUAACCCC